UGCGGUGUUUCGGUGGCUGCUGGGAGGAAGGUGGGGCUUUCCUCAGGUGCAAGGUGCUUUCAGUGAGGUGAUGGCCUCUGUAAAGCGAGUGUUUUAUCCUCAAAAGUGGAGGAAAUCCCAGAAUUCACUUCAGCACAGUGACCCUCCCGCGGCCUGGGCAUGGCGGGAACCUGUCUGAGGGACCUGCCUUCUGCUGCCGGUGCCCUCCGACAUGGACGCCCCUUCCCCAUGAAGGGAAGGGCCAGCGGUGUCAGUGGAGGCCUCUGUGGAGCAGGUGAUCUCCUGUGGGCGCCAUGUGAGGAAACAUCGCCCAGAAGACAGCACCAGCUGCUGCUGGCAAGUGUGGGAGGCAGGACCCUGGAGCAGACAGACCACUCAGCUCAUCAGUUACAGCAGUCCCUGUGCUCCUGGACCCGUUCCUGGGAGGCUGAUAUUUUAUCUUUUGUGGCUUGUGAUAGGCUGCCAUGGGCAGAGAGAGCUUCAAAUAGCAGGGUGUUGAAGAAGCAGACAAGCUUCUGUGAAGGAAACACAGUCCUUGAAGUACUUCAGUUCUGAAAGCCUCUCUUAUCCAGUGGUAAGUACUGCUGGGAGUAAUCAGCAGAGUUAAUAGUGUGUGCUCAGAGGAAAGAUUUUGCCUGAGUUUCCAUAUGUCUGUGUAAAUCCAGAUCCAACUGAUAACAGAACAUGAACACAAUAAAUGGAAUGAGCUCCCCAGGUGCAAAUGGCACAAUACAACAUGGGUGUUCCCAGCACAGGUGAUGCUCACACAAAAUGAAGGUGAGCAGAGACAUCCAGAGCUCUCUGGAGAGCUUCUUUCCAGAAAACAGACCCAUCUGAUUUCUAUUAUGGGAAGGAAACCAGGUGGCAAGAGUUCAACUGGUCACUAGAGAAUUAUGGGGAAUGUCCACUGUGUGUAGGCAAAAUGUCUUUGCAGCAUGCAGGAAGUCAGCCAGGGGGAUCCAGUUUGGGAUGCCAGUGCUGGGAAUCGCCACUUCACAGGGAGCAGCCUGACUCUGCCAGAGAUGUGUCAUGCAGGGCUCCAUGGUGAAGAGUCAUUUCUCAAUGUGCUCUCACAGGAGCUGCAGCUCCAGUUUCAGCUUUAAACCUGUUCUUUGUGUGCUGCUAACUGUAGUGCUGCAACAGCGCAGAACUCAGCAUGGGCCAGAAACCCAGCCCAAAAGGCUGGGUAAAUACUCGGGGCUAAGCACUAACAAUACUGUUAGUCACAGCAGCUGCAUUGCCCGCAGAGCCAGAACAGGGCUGCUUAAAUCCUGCCCAGUACUUCUGUCACUUAGUCGCUGCAGUGACUGCAGAGUAGACAAGCCCCAUUAGAAAUAAUGCAUAAAGGUUAAUGAAAUAUUUGUAGCUGUUUUAAUAAGUGAUUAGUCUUUUAUUACAUACGGUUACACAGUCCAGCAGAGCAAUAGAUUGUUUUUAAUUGUAGCUUAUCAUUAUCUAUGGUAACUUCCACUGAUGUGCUGGUAACCAUUUUGGACACAUGCUGCUUAUAUAUAUAUAGCAAGCCAACAACUUCAAUUAAUUAUUUAUUAAUGCCUUUUAAGCUGCGUAGAACUGGUACCAUAACAUGAAGCAUAAUCAGGGCAGCUCUGCAAAGUAUCUGUGGUAUUGCAAGUCUGGCUGGGAGUGCCCGGAAAGAUAACUGUGCUUAGCAGGAGCUCACACAGCUGACUGCAAGGGCAGUGUAAGCAGUGGGGCUGUGGGUUUUGUGGCAUUUUAGGAAAUCUGGAAUGCUGCCACGCUUAUGUGGGAAAUGCCCAGCUCAGCCUGGUGUGUCUUUCCCCAGAUGACUUCAUAAAUGAAAAGCUAAACUGGGUCAGCCUGAACAGUGGCCUGACUUUAAACUGUGCCCUAGGCAUCUGCCUUGGGCACUGAUGGAGACAGGACACUGGCUAGAUGAGCCUCUGGUCUGAUUCAGUGUAGCUCUGUACCUGUACCAAAACUUGCUAGCUCAACAAGUGAGUGUCUGUCUAGGCAUUUCUACAGCACCA